rnacentral:miRNA from 1 species
UUCAUUUUUAAAAUAGGCAUU